CUCGAAGCUAAUGGCGUUGUCGAGGUUUUGUACAACGUUGCUGCUCCUCUCUCCUUUUAAUCCGCCAAGUCAAAUCUGAUUAUAUGGUGAUUCGGUUGAAAACGGCUGACCCGCCAGCUCCUCCACCUCCGCCUCUGCCUCCGCCUCCGCCUCCACCUCCACCUCCUCCUCCACCCACAGAUUGCGAAGAAGCUUGCAAUGCUCGGUGCCAGCAGUCGGCGUUGUGCCAGAGGAGAUGUGAGAUCUGCUGUGACCGCUGCCAUUGCGUGCCGUCGGGAACUUCCGGCCACUACGAUGGCUGCCCUUGCUAUUCCAACAGUUUUACCUAUACAGGCAAGCAUAGAUGUCCCUAGGGGGGGUUUCAACUUCAAUUUAGCUUUGCCACGGAAUGGUUUGUAUUUCGUUAAUGUAUAGCUAAGUCUCCAGACUUUUGCAUGAUCUAUCUUAAUAAUAAAGACGUUUGU